CCUACGGGCGGCAGCAGUGAGGAAUAUUGGUCAAUGGACGAGAGUCUGAACCAGCGAAGUAGCGUGAAGGAUGACUGCCCUAUGGGUUGUAAACUUCUUUUAUAUGGGAAUAAAAUGUUCCACGUGUGGGAUUUUGUAUGUACCAUAUGAAUAAGGAUCGGCUAACUCCGUGCCAGCAGCCGCGGUAAUACGGAGGAUCCGAGCGUUAUCCGGAUUUAUUGGGUUUAAGGGGAGCGUAGGUGGAUUGUUAAGUCAGUUGUGAAAGUUUGCGGCUCAACCGUAAAAUUGCAGUUGAAACUGGCAGUCUGGAGUACAGUAGAGGUGAGCGGAAUUCGUGGUGUAGCGGUGAAAUGCGUAGAUAUCACGAAGAACUCCGGUUGCGAAGGCGGUUAACUGGACUACAACUGACACUGAGGCUCGAAAGUGUGGGUAUCAAACAGGAUUAGAUACCCCUGUAGUC
rnacentral:rRNA from 1 species